rfam:Candidimonas bauzanensis strain CGMCC 1.10190 genome assembly, contig: Ga0070552_102
UUACACAGAGUGGGAGAGUGCCGGGUUCCCGGCCACCGAAGGCGCAAUUCGCCCAGAAUCGCUCAGGUACCCCGUACCGCUCUUGUAUU